AGCGAACGCUGGCGGCAGGCUUAACACAUGCAAGUCGAGCGGGCGUAGCAAUACGUCAGCGGCAGACGGGUGAGUAACGCGUGGGAACGUACCUUUUGGUUCGGAACAACCCGGGGAAACUUGGGCUAAUACCGGAUAAGCCCUUACGGGGAAAGAUUUAUCGCCAAAAGAUCGGCCCGCGUCUGAUUAGCUUGUUGGUGAGGUAACGGCUCACCAAGGCGACGAUCAGUAGCUGGUCUGAGAGGAUAAUCAGCCACAUUGGGACUGAGACACGGCCCAAACUCCUACGGGAGGCAGCAGUGGGGAAUAUUGGACAAUGGGCGCAAGCCUGAUCCAGCCAUGCCGCGUGAGUGAUGAAGGCCCUAGGGUUGUAAAGCUCUUUUGUGCGGGAAGAUAAUGACUGUACCGCAAGAAUAAGCCCCGGCUAACUUCGUGCCAGCAGCCGCAGUAAC
rnacentral:rRNA from 1 species